rnacentral:rRNA from 1 species
GACGAACGCUGGCGGCGUGCUUAACACAUGCAAGUCGAACGGAAAGGCCCUGCUCUUGUGGGGUGCUCGAGUGGCGAACGGGUGAGUAAAACGUGUGUAACCUGCACUUGACUGUGGGAUAACUUCAGGAAACUGGGGAUAAUACCGCGUAGGAGCUCUUGCUGCACGGUGGGGGUUGGAAAGUUUCGGCGGUUGGGGAUGGACUCGCGGCUUAUCAGCUGGUUGAGGGGGUAGUGACUUACAAAGGCUUUGACGGGUAGCCGGCCUGGGAGGGUGACCGGCCACAUUGGGACUGAGAGACGGCCCAGACUCCUACGGUAGGCAGCAGGCGGGAGUAUUGCACAAUGGGCGGGAGCCUGUUGCAGCAGCGCCGCGUGCGGAAUGCCGGCCUUCGGGUUGUAAACCGCUUUCGCCUGUGACGAAGAGUGAGUGACGGUAAUGGGUAAAGAAGCACCGGCUAACUACGUG